rnacentral:rRNA from 1 species
UACGGGGGGGCAAGCGUUGUUCGGAAUUACUGGGCGUAAAGGGCUCGUAGGCGGCCAACUAAGUCAGACGUGAAAUCCCCAGGCUUAACCUGGGAACUGCGUCUGAUACUGGAUGGCUUGAAUUCGGGAGAGGGAUGCAGAAUUCCAGGUGUAGCGGUGAAAUGCGUAGAUAUCUGGAGGAAUACCGGUGGCGAAGGCGGCAUCCUGGACCGACAUUGACGCUGAUGAGCGAAAGCUAGGGGAGCAAACGGG